UAAAGAGGGUGCAAGCGUUAAUCGGAAUUACUGGGCGUAAAGCGUGCGUAGGCGGUUUCGUAAGUCGGGUGUGAAAGCCCCGGGCUCAACCUGGGAAUUGCAUUCGAGACUGCGGAGCUAGAGUGCGGAAGAGGGAAGUGGAAUUUCCGGUGUAGCGGUGAAAUGCGUAGAUAUCGGAAGGAACACCAGUGGCGAAAGCGACUUCCUGGUCCAGCACUGACGCUCAGGCACGAAAGCGUGGGGAGCAAACAGG
rnacentral:rRNA from 1 species